rnacentral:tmRNA from 1 species
GGGGAUGACUGGAUUCGACGUUGGUUACAAACCCUGCGGUGCAUGUCGAGAAUGUAAGGUUUCUCGUAAAUCCCACCUUGCAAAAGUUAUAGUCGCAAACGACGAAAACUACGCACUAGCGGCCUAAAUCCCGCUUACACUGAUCACCGGAUGCCUGUAAACGGUUGUGAAGUGGCUCGCAGAACAGGAUCGUGUGGACUCCUCGCUCGUGGAGAAAACCCUAAAACCAAUCGAGAUCGCCUUAUGCGCCCUGACACUUGGGCCGCGGUGGGUUAAAACAAUAAAGUGAUCUAAACAUGUAGAGCCAAUGGCAGAGGACUGGCGGACGGGGGUUCGACUCCCCCCAUCUCCACCA